CCUACGGGUGACAGCAGUGAGGAAUAUUGGUCAAUGGUCGGGAGACUGAACCAGCCAAGCCGCGUGCGGGAGGAAGGUACAGAGUAUCGUAAACCUCUUUUGUACGAGAACAAACACUGGGACGCGUCCUCGGAUGAGAGUACCUGACGAAUAAGCAUCGGCUAACUCCGUGCCAGCAGCCGCGGUAAUACGGAGGAUGCGAGCGUUAUCCGGAUUUAUUGGGUUUAAAGGGUGCGCAGGCGGGCUAAUAAGUCAGCGGUGAAAGCCCGGGGCUAAACCCGGGACCGCCGUUGAAACUGGUAGUCGCGAGUUGGAGAGAAGUAGGCGGAAUGCGCGGUGUAGCGGUGAAAUGCGUAGAGAU
rnacentral:rRNA from 1 species